rnacentral:rRNA from 1 species
CGGUAACUCCAGCUCCAAUAGCGUAUACUAAAGUUGUUGCAGUUAAAAAGCUCGUAGUUGGAUUUCUGCGGGGACGGAGCGGCCGGACGCAACUUGCGUCUCGAGCUAGCGCUUUCCCCGCAUCCUGCCGCGAACCGUGCUACCAUUAGCUUGGUGGCGCUGGGGAUCGGCUCGAUUACUUUGAGAAAAAUAGAGUGUUCAAAGCAGGCCACACGCCUUGAAUAAGUUAGCAUGGAAUAAUGACUAAGGACUUUGGUUCUUUUCGUGGGUGUUCGGGACUGAAGUAAUGAUUGAUAGGGACAGUUGGGGCGGUCUGUAUUCCAAAGCGAGAGGUGGAAUUCUUAGACCUUCGGAAGACAAACAGCUGCGAAAGCGUUCCGCAAGGAUGUUCCCUUUGAUCAAGAACGAAAGUUGGGGGAUCGAAGACAAUCAGAUACCGUCGUAGUCUCAACUAUAAACUAUACCAGCUAGGGAUCGGCCAACGUUUAAUUAUUCGACUUGGUCGGCACCUUAUGAGAAAUCAAAGCAUCUGGGUUCCGGGGGGAGUAUGGUCGCAAGGCUGAAACUUAAAGGAAUUGACGGAAGGGCACCACCAGCCGUGGAGCCUGUGGCUUAAUUUGACUCAACACGGGAAAACUUACCAGGUCCGGACAUAGGAAGGAUUGACAGAUUGAUAGCUCUUUCUUGAUUCUGUGGGUGGUGGUGCAUGGCCGUUUUUAGUUGGUGGAGUGAUUUGUCUGCUUAAUUGCGUUAACGAACGAGACCCCAGCCUGCUAAAUAGCGCGGCCGAGCUUUGCUCGGUGCGAGCUUCUUAGAGGGACCAUGAUGCGCGAUAGCACAAGGAAGUUUGGGGCAACAACAGGUCUGUGAUGCCCUUAGAUGUUCUGGGCCGCACACGGGCUACACUGGCGCCUGCAACGAGCAUAUCAGCUGGCCCGAGAGGGUCUUGGCUAAUCUUUUGAACCGGCGCCGUGCUUGGGAUUGACCUUUGCAAUUGUUGGUCAUGCAACGAGGAAUGCCUUGUAAACGCGAGUCAUCAGCUCGCAUUGAAUACGUCCCUGCCCUUUGUACACACCGCCCGUCGCUCCUACCGAUGAAUGUUCCGAUGAAAUUUUCGGAGAGCGCCGGAGAACGGGGCUCCGCCCUGCAGAACUGGAGGCUCAAAGUCACUUAAAUCUGAACAUUUCGAGGAAGGAGAAGUCGUAACAAGGUAACC